rnacentral:rRNA from 1 species
CCCGGGCCUUGUACACACCGCCCGUCACACCAUGGGAGUGGGUUGUACCAGAAGUAGGUAGCCUAACCUUCGGGGGGGCGCUUACCACGGUAUGAUUCAUGACUGGGGUG